rnacentral:rRNA from 1 species
UGAGCAACCUGCCCUUGACACUGGAAUAACAGUUGGAAACAGCUGCUAAUACCGGAUAUGACCUCUGACGACAUCGUCUGGAGGUGGAAAGCUCCGGCGGUCAAGGAUGGGCUCGCGGCCUAUCAGCUUGUUGGUGAGGUAACGGCUCACCAAGGCUUCGACGGGUAGCCGGCCUGAGAGGGCGACCGGCCACACUGGGACUGAGAUACGGCCCAGACUCCUAGGAGG